rnacentral:sRNA from 1 species
GCUGGCGGCAUGUCAACCGGGCGAGAUGGUAUGAAGAAUGCAGCGGUUUUCCCGGUUUCACGCUGCAGCCAACGCAAUGGCAGCCGAGCUUCUGUCCCAUCUGCCGU